rnacentral:lncRNA from 1 species
CUUGAACUCACAGAGAUCUACUUGCCUCUGCCUCCCAAGUGCUAGGAUUAAAGAGGCCUCAUUCAGUAAUUGAUGGAACCAGAUGCAGAAAUCCACAACCAAGAACCAGGCCAAGCUCCAGGAAUCCAGUCGAAGAGAGGGAGGAAGGAAUAUAUGAGCAAGGGAGGUCAUGGUCAUGAUGAAGAAAUCUACAGAGACAGGAGUUGUUAGGUCACCAUUCAGACUCCUGGUGCGGAGUGUGCUGAAGCCCACAAGAGGCUUCAGGAUUACUUCACCAAUGGAAAAAAUGCACUGAUUUAGUGAGAAUCCUGUCUCUCUGCCUGAG